CAAUUCUUCUUCCAGCUGAAUCCACCACUUCCAUGGUUUUCGAGCUUGAAUUUGCCAUGGCAGAUUUAAACAUUUCCAAGUUUCAGUCACAUCUGGGCACUCCCAGAAACAAUGAAAAACGCUUUCUUGUGACCGAUUGCAUUUUGGGCACCAGGGUUCGAUGGAUUGUAUUCGAGCGUUCAACCUUUCUUUCACAGGGAGUCCUCCGUGCAUCAGUUUUCAGAGUAUUCAGUUGGUGGGUGGUAGAAGUUAAAGGCUAUUUUGUAUCCUGAAGCAAUAGUGAAGCCGCCCCCUUUCUCCAACAUCUAGAGACAGGACACGGAGACAUGGACAGCACAUUCUUAGAAAGCGUUUGGAAGUAAAGACAUGGACACUGAACAUAUUGUCUCCGGGACAGUUUUUUAUACUUUUGUGUCCACUCUUUUACGAAGGACAAUGAUGGACACGGGAUUUGGAAGAGGGACACGGACUGUUUUUAUGAAUUUUUUUUCUUUUUUG